AACGAACGCUGGCGGCAGGCCUAACACAUGCAAGUCGAGCGCCCCGCAAGGGGAGCGGCGGACGGGUGAGUAACGCGUGGGAACGUACCCUUUGCUACGGAAUAGCCUCGGGAAACUGGGAGUAAUACCGUAUGUGCCCUUCGGGGGAAAGAUUUAUCGGCAAAGGAUCGGCCCGCGUUGGAUUAGGUAGUUGGUGGGGGUAAUGGCCUACCAAGCCGACGAUCCAUAGCUGGUUUGAGAGGAUGAUCAGCCACACUGGGACUGAGACACGGCCCAGACUCCUACGGGAGGCAGCAGUGGGGAAUCUUAGACAAUGGGCGCAAGCCUGAUCUAGCCAUGCCGCGUGAGCGAUGAAGGCCUUAGGGUUGUAAAGCUCUUUCAGUGGGGAAGAUAAUGACUGUACCCACAGAAGAAGCCCCGGCUAACUCCGUG
rnacentral:rRNA from 1 species